GACGAACGCUGGCGGCGUGCUUAACACAUGCAAGUCGAACGGUGAAGCGCCUUCCUUUUUGGUGGGUGUGGAUGAGUGGCGAACGGGUGAGUAACACGUGAGUAACCUGCCCCCUUCUUCUGGAUAACCGCAUGAAAGUGUGGCUAAUACGGGAUAUUCUGGGUCUGUCGCAUGAUGGGUCUGGGAAAGAUAUUGUUUCGGUGGGGGAUGGGCUCGCGGCCUAUCAGCUUGUUGGUGGGGUGAUGGCCUACCAAGGCGGUGACGGGUAGCCGGCCUGAGAGGGUGGACGGUCACACUGGGACUGAGACACGGCCCAGACUCCUACGGGAGGCAGCAGUGGGGAAUAUUGCACAAUGGGCGCAAGCCUGAUGCAGCGACGCCGCGUGAGGGAUGGAGGCCUUCGGGUGGUGAACCUCUUUCGCAGUGAAGCAGGCCUGCCUCGUUUGUGGGUGGGUUGACGGUAGCUGGAUAAGAAGCGCCGGCUAACUACGUG
rnacentral:rRNA from 1 species